rnacentral:rRNA from 1 species
AAGCGCACGCAGGCGGGUUUGUUAAGUCAGAUGUGGAAAUCCCCGGGCUCAACCUGGGAACUGCAUUUGAAACUGGCAAGCUAGAGUCUCGUAGAGGGGGGUAGAAUUCCAGGUGUAGCGGUGAAAUGCGUAGAGAUCUGGAGGAAUACCGGUGGCGAAGGCGGCCCCCUGGACGAAGACUGACGCUCAGGUGCGAAAGCGUGGGGAGCAAACAGGAUUAGAUACCCUGGUAGUCCACGCUGUAAACGAUGUCGAUUUGGAGGUUGUGCCCUUGAGGCGUGGCUUCCGGAGCUAACGCGUUAAAUCGACCGCCUGGGGAGUACGGCCGCAAGGUUAAAACUCAAAUGAAUUGACGGGGGCCCGCACAAGCGGUGGAGCAUGUGGUUUAAUUCGAUGCAACGCGAAAAACCUUACCUACUCUUGACAUCGAGAGAACUUUCCAGAGAUGGAUUG